UGGGGAAUAUUGCACAAUGGGCGCAAGCCUGAUGCAGCGACGCCGCGUGAGGGAUGAAGGCCUUCGGGUUGUAAACCUCUUUCAGCAGGGAAGAAGCGAAAGUGACGGUACCUGCAGAAGAAGCACCGGCUAACUACGUG
rnacentral:rRNA from 1 species